rnacentral:rRNA from 1 species
AAAUUUUUUUAAUUAAUAAAUAUAGAGAAAAUAAUAAUUUAAAUUUAUAAUUAAAGUAUUAAUAAAUAAAUAUAAUUUUAUUUAGUAUAUUUAAUAAAAAUUUUUUUUUAUAAUUGAUAGAUAAAUAGUAAAGUAAUUGAAUAUUGAAAUAAUAUUUGAAAUAUUAAAUUUUUUUAAAAGAAAUUUUUAUUUUGUAUCUUGUGUAUCAGAGAUUAUUUAAAUUAAUUUAAGGAUAUUUAAAAAUCUCAAAAAUUUAAGAAAUAAUUAAUUAUUAUAGUUAUUGUAGUAAGAAUAUUAUAAAUAAUUAGUUUGAAAUGAAAUGUUAUUCGAUUAAAUUAAUAUUUAGUUUAAAAAGAAAUAAAUUUAAUUUAUUUUAUUUAAGAAAUUAUAUUUUUAUAUAAAAAGUUAUUUAAAUAAAAAAAUUUUUUAGGGAUAAGCUUAAAAAUUUAUUAUAUAGUUAAAAUAAUAAAUUAAAUUUUAAUUAAUUAAAAUUUAAUUUAUUAAAAUUUUAUUUUUUAAUAAUUUAAAAUAAUUAAAAUUGAUUAAAUUAAUAUUUUUAUUUAUUUUUAAAUAAUUUAAAAAUAAUAAUAAUGAUAAUAUUAGUAUAAUUAUUAAAUAUUACAAGAAUAUUAUAAGUAGUACUUAUUUUUUUAGAAUUCGGCAAGUUUAUAUAUUUACAUGUUUAACAAAAACAUGUCUUUUUGAUUUUUAUUUAAAGUCUAAUCUGCUCUCUGAAUGAAUUUAAAGGCCGCAAUUUAAUUGUGCAAAGGUAGCAUAAUAAUUAGUUUUUUAAUUGAAAACUAGAAUGAAUGAUUGAAUAAGAUAUAUACUUUUAUAACUAUAAUAAUAAAAUUUUAAUUUUUAGUGAAAAAGUUAAAAUAUUUAAAUUAGACGAAAAGACCCUAUAAAUUUUUAUUUAGUAAAAUUAUUUAAUUUAUAAAUUAUUUAAUGUUUAUUAAAAUUUAUUGGGGUGAUAAAAAAAUUUGAAAAACUUUUUUAUUAUAAAAAUACAUUAAUAUAUGAGAGGACAUUUAUAACGUUAAUUUAAAAAUUAAGAUUAAAAUACUUUAGGGAUAACAGCGUUAUUUUAAUUUUAAGUUCAUAUUGAAAUUAAAGAUUGCGACCUCGAUGUUGGAUUAAAAUAAAAUUUAAAUGAAAAAGGUUAAAUUUUAGGUCUGUUCGACCUUAAUUUUUUACAUGAUCUGAGUUCAAACCGGUGUGAGCCAGGUUGGUUUCUAUCUUUUUUUAUAUAAAAAAAAUUAGUACGAAAGGAUUAUUUAUUUUAAAUAAUUUAUUUUUAAAUUGAA